rnacentral:tRNA from 3 species
AGCGGCGUAGGGUAGCCAGGUAUCCCGCGGGGCUCAUAACCCCGAGAUCCCAGGUUCAAAUCCUGGCGCCGCUA